AAUGGGCGCAAGCCUGAUGCAGCGACGCCGCGUGAGGGAUGACGGCCUUCGGGUUGUAAACCUCUUUCGCCAGGGACGAAGCGCAAGUGACGGUACCUGGAGAAGAAGGACCGGCCAACUACGUGCCAGCAGCCGCGGUAAUACGUAGGGUCCGAGCGUUGUCCGGAAUUACUGGGCGUAAAGAGCUCGUAGGUGGUUUGUCGCGUUGUUCGUGAAAACUCACAACUCAAUUGUGGGCGUGCGGGCGAUACGGGCAGACUGGAGUACUGCAGGGGAGACUGGAAUUCCUGGUGUAGCGGUGGAAUGCGCAGAUAUCAGGAGGAACACCGGUGGCGAAGGCGGGUCUCUGGGCAGUAACUGACGCUGAGGAGCGAAAGCGUGGGGAGCGAACAGGAUUAGAUACCCUGGUAGUCCACGCCGUAAACGAUGGGUACUAGGUGUGGGUUUCCUUCCUUGGGAUCCGUGCCGUAGCUAACGCAUUAAGUACCCCGCCUGGGGAGUACGGCCGCAAGGCUA
rnacentral:rRNA from 1 species